UACAGAGGUCUCAAGCGUUGUUCGGAUUCAUUGUGCGUAAAGGGUGCGUAGGUGGCGCCGUAAGUCAGGUGUGAAAUUUCGGAGCUUAACUCCGAAACUGCAUUUGAUACUGCGGUGCUUGAGGACUGGAGAGGAGACUGGAAUUUACGGUGUAGCAGUGAAAUGCGUAGAGAUCGUAAGGAACACCGGUGGCGAAGGCGGGUCUCUGGGCAACAACUGACGCUGAGGAGCGAAAGCGUGGGGAGCGAACAGG
rnacentral:rRNA from 1 species